UACGAGGGGUGCAAACGUUAUUCGGAUUUAUUGGGCGUAAAGGGUACGCAGGCGGUAUGUUAAGUCAACUGUUAAAUCUCCCGGCCUAACCGGGAUUCAGCGGUAGAUACUGGCAUACUAGAGGAUGGAAGAGAGAAGUGGAAUUCUUGGAGUAGAGGUAAAAUUCGUAGAUCUCAAGAGGAACACCGAUGGCGAAGGCAGCUUCUUGGUCCAUUUCUGACGCUCAGGUACGAAAGCGUGGGGAGCAAACAGG
rnacentral:rRNA from 1 species